rnacentral:lncRNA from 1 species
GGGCAAACCACAAGUCCAGGGGGAUGACUUUGGCGCUGUUGGCAGAGUCUGAGGUUCCUCGCCUGUCUCUAUGCAUACGUCUACACACUUACUUAAACUAUAACUAACAGACCUAACUUAGCUGCAGCCCCCGGAGUUGCAAAGAAGGAGCAUUUACUUGGCAUACUCUUGUCUCAAGAGUCUGGCCCUUGUUGAGUCACCAGCAUCCUUGGACUAAAACACUCUCCCUGUCUGCUCUGAAAGUGCUUCACAGAGAUCUUCUCCAAGAGGGGUAGUGGCUGCUGGG